rnacentral:rRNA from 1 species
CAGCAGCAGCCACGGUAAUACGUAGGUGGCAAGCGUUGUCCGGAAUGAUUGGGCGUAAAGGGCGCGCAGGCGGCUGUGUAAGUCUGUCUAGAAAGUGCGGGGCUAAACCCCGUGAGAGGAUGGAAACUGGACAGCUGAGAGUGUCGGAGAGGAAAGCGGAAUUCCUAGUGUAGCGGUGAAAUGCGUAGAUAUUAGGAGGAACACCGGUGGCGAAAGCGGCUUUCUGGACGACAACUGACGCUGAGGCGCGAAAGCCAGGGGAGCAAACGGGAUUAGAUACCCGCGUAGUCCCUGUCUCUUAUAC